AAGCCCCUUUACAAACCCGUUCCAUUAUAUUAAAAAGACGGCGUUUGCAGAGGCAGUGCUUGAAGGAGGAACAUUAUUAAUCAUCGCCCCGGCAAGCAGGCCAUGGAUUCAGCUACAGCAUGUGGCUGACCUGCCAACCUUAACAACGGUAUGGAGGUGUUGACACCUGCUAUCAUUAGAACCAGGGAGAAACGGGACCGGAGACGAGUGGACUCUGGCCAAGAGGCUUAAUUAGUUGGACCUCGGGCUGGUUUUGAAUGACUGUAUGCGCCAUCGAUCAGGGGCGGGGGGAGCGGGUGUGAUCACUCCCCAGCUCUACAUUGGGGAUGGGUACUCUUUUAAAGUGACACUGUUACUGCAGCCGCUGAAACAAACCUCCUUUCUGCAAUGCUGAUGCCCUGCAAAUGUUUCCCUUCAUACUCUCCGUCUGAAGUGCUGCAGUGCUUGGGGAAACGCUCACGCAGACACACAGACACACAGACACACAGACACACAUACACACAUACACACGCACACACAUACACACGCACACGCACACACACAUACACACACAGCUAGGGACACGCCAUCACACACACUUAUGCAUGCAGGCACAAAAGUGACAUUGUUUGUAGGAGCCAAUGGUUUCUUUCGAUGCGUGAAAUUAGUCCUCCCUUCACAAGCCCUUGCGUUUACCCACACAGUCAUGUGAUGUUCAUGUAGAUUGUUGCGAUCUUUUCAGAUUUCUAAUUCAAUGAAUUAUGAAGAAGAAAAAUGAUAAUUUGUUCACUGUUCAGAAGACAGCUGGGCAUUGUUGUUUG